AUAUUUCAGAAUUGGGAUAAAAGGGAAGUAACCAUACAAGUCAGAAGCAUUUUUUCUGAACAAUUCUGGCAAUUUAAUAAACCAUGAGGGGAUAUGAAGACACUAAAGGACUAUCAUGAGAAGUUUCAACAACUUACACACUUGUGGAUACGUUUGCAAGCAUAUUCUCGGAUUUUUUAAUAUUAAACACCUACAAGGCCAGCUAUGGGACUGAGCCCAGGGCCCAAUGGAAGAGAUAGGGGA